GUGGGGAAUUUUGGACAAUGGGCGCAAGCCUGAUCCAGCCAUUCCGCGUGAGUGAAGAAGGCCUUCGGGUUGUAAAGCUCUUUCGCAAGGGAAGAAAACUUAGCCACUAACAUUGGCUGAGGUUGACGGUACCUUGAUAAGAAGCACCGGCUAACUACGUGCCAGCAGCCGCGGUAAUACGUAGGGUGCGAGCGUUAAUCGGAAUUACUGGGCGUAAAGCGUGCGCAGGCGGUUUUGUAAGUCAGAUGUGAAAUCCCCGAGCUCAACUUGGGAACUGCGUUUGAAACUACAAGACUAGAAUAUGUCAGAGGGGGGUAGAAUUCCACGUGUAGCAGUGAAAUGCGUAGAGAUGUGGAGGAAUACCAAUGGCGAAGGCAGCCCCCUGGGAUAAUAUUGACGCUCAUGCACGAAAGCGUGGGGAGCAAACAGGAUUAGAAACCCUAGUAGUCC
rnacentral:rRNA from 1 species